rnacentral:rRNA from 1 species
GAUGAACGCUGGCGGUAUGCCUUACACAUGCAAGUCGAACGGAAAUUAGCUUCGGUUAAUUUUAGUGGCGGACGGGUGAGUAACACGUGAGAAUUUGCCUUUAGGAGGGGGAUAACUAGUGGAAACACUAGCUAAAACCCCAUAUGCCCACGGGUGAAACAGAGGAAUAAGGUUAAACCAUAACUCCUCUGCCUGAAGAGAAGCUCGCGGCUGAUUAGCUAGUUGGUAGGGUAAUGGCCUACCAAGGCGACGAUCAGUAGCUGGUCUGAAAGGACGAUCAGCCACACUGGAACUGAGACACGGUCCAGACUCCUACGGGAGGCAGCAGUGAGGAAUUUUCUGCAAUGGGCGAAAGCCUGACAGAGCAAUACCGCGUGAGGGAAGAAGGCUUACUGAGUUGUAAACCUCGGUGCCUUAAGGAAGAAGAUCUGACGGUACUUAAGGUGGAAAGCACCGGCUAACCCCGUGCCAGCAGCCGCGGUAACAC